AUUGAACGCUGGCGGCAGGCCGAACACAUGCAAGUCGAGCGGAGCGGCGGAGGGGUGAGUAAUGCCUAGGAAUCUGCAUGGGAGUGGGGGAUAACGACCGGAAACGGGCGCUAAUACCGCAUACUAGCAGAUGAGGAGAGGUGGGAGUAGCUAGUAGGUGGGGUAAAGGCCGACCAAGGCGAAGAUCCGUAACCUGUUUGAGAGGAUGAUCAGUCACACUGGAAAUGAGCAACGGUCCAGAUUCAAACGAGAGGAAGACGUGGGGAAUAUUGGACAAUGGGCGAAAGCCUGAUACAGCCAUGCCGCGUGUGUGAAGAAGGCCUUCGGACUGUAAAGCAAUUUAAGUGGGGAGGCGUUACCAACAGAAUAAGCACCGGCUAACUUCGUGCCAGCAGCCGCGGUAAUAC
rnacentral:rRNA from 1 species